rnacentral:rRNA from 1 species
GAACGCGAAGAACCUUACCAAGUCUUGACAUCCCUCUGACCACUCUAGAGAUAGAGCUUUCCUUCGGGGACAAAGUGACAGGUGGUGCAUGGUUGUCGUCAGCUCGUGUCGUGAGAUGUUGGGUUAAGUCCCGCAACGAGCGCAACCCUUAUUACUAGUUGCCAGCAUUGAGUUGGGCACUCUAGUGAGACUGCCGGUGACAAACCGGAGGAAGGUGGGGAUGACGUCAAAUCAUCAUGCCCCUUAUGACUUGGGCUACACACGUGCUACAAUGGAUGGUACAACGAGCAGCGAACUCGCGAGGGUAAGCGAAUCUCUUAAAGCCAUUCUCAGUUCGGAUUGUAGGCUGCAACUCGCCUACAUGAAGCCGGAAUCGCUAGUAAUCGCGGAUCAGCACGCCGCGGUGAAUACGUUCCCGGGUCUUGUACACACC